ACACUCCUACGGGAGGCAGCAGUGGGGAAUUUUGGACAAUGGGCGAAAGCCUGAUCCAGCCAUGCCGCGUGCAGGAUGAAGGCCUUCGGGUUGUAAACUGCUUUUGUACGGAACGAAACGGCCUUUUCUAAUAAAGAGGGCUAAUGACGGUACCGUAAGAAUAAGCACCGGCUAACUACGUGCCAGCAGCCGCGGUAAUACGUAGGGUGCAAGCGUUAAUCGGAAUUACUGGGCGUAAAGCGUGCGCAGGCGGUUAUGUAAGACAGUUGUGAAAUCCCCGGGCUCAACCUGGGAACUGCAUCUGUGACUGCAUAGCUAGAGUACGGUAGAGGGGGAUGGAAUUCCGCGUGUAGCAGUGAAAUGCGUAGAUAUGCGGAGGAACACCGAUGGCGAAGGCAAUCCCCUGGACCUGUACUGACGCUCAUGCACGAAAGCGUGGGGAGCAAACAGGAUUAGAUACCCUGGUAGUCCCAU
rnacentral:rRNA from 1 species